AGAUCCAGGAUAUUCCCUAAAAAUCUCACGUGGUCGGCAGUACAGCAAUAUUCAGAAGUGAAAAUAUUGAAUUAUGAGAGCUUUAACCUCAUAAGAGGAUUAAUAUAUUUGAUGGAUUAAUAAUUUGAAUGCACUACUAGUAGUAACUGUAGGCUGGUAGACAUGGCUACAGGAGGUAUUUCAAUGGGGUCUUUCCCUUAGGGAUUUGUCUCCCUGACGCUCAUUCUGUCUGCUUGCUGGCUGCCAUGAGCUGAGCAGAUUUCCUCCACCACACCUUUCAGCAAUGAUAUUCUACCUCACCUUAGGUCCAGAGCAGUGGAGUUGUCCAACCAUGGACUGAAUCUCUGAAACCCUGAGCCCAAAAUAAACUUUUCCUUUUAUAAGUUGUUCUUGCCAGUUAUUUUACUCACAGUGACAGAAAAUUGACACAACCAUUAAAAAGUAGAGAACUAUUGAUUCCCCAGCUUCCAAAAUGGCAUCCACUUUUUUCUGUAUUAAAUUCAACAGAGGCAGGGGCUUGAUAUUCUUCCCCUUCAGUACCUGCCAAGCUUCUCAGAGUAUGCUGGGAAAAGAGAAGUUCUUUAUGUCUUGAAACCUGUUCAACCCUUCUAACCUUUCUACUUAGAUGACCAUUGGUGAGUGUUCAAGUGAUGGGAAUUUUGCCACCUGGAAAUCAGAGUGAGGCAAACAACUUUUUCCUGAGAUGGUACUGAACAGUCUUUUAAAGGACAAUGAUUUUCAAUUACUUCUGUCAUAAGUUACAGGAGAACCAGUGACCUACACAUGAAUGAAUCCUCUGAGUAACUGAUUGUCUCCCUUAGAACUGAAACAAUUUCCCUGAGUCUCAAACCUGUCCAAGCAAAAUGACAAUUUUUAUUUCACUCAAAGUUACAGGCUUUCUUUAUGCCUUUAUGUUAGCUCUGAUGAUUAUUUUAUAUCUGAAAUUUCCAGUUAUCCUAGAUUGUUCCUUGAAUUUUUUAUAGAAGCUUUUAGGCACAAAAAUCUUAUAAUAGAUUGGAUAACUGAGUUUGUCAAUAGAGUUUUUCCAAAAGAAGACUGCAAUGAUUAUUCGGAAUUAUAGUUGAUAAUAUACAGUACUUUCUACAGUAUAGGUAGUAUUUAACGUGUGUGUGUGUAAAAUUCUUAAUAACUAAGAGAAAGUUACACAGAGUGGGAGAACAGUGUAUAAGGAAUAGAUUUAGUGGGAAUCAGGAUUUUAACCCAGGAAAACCCUUGCAGAGUC
rnacentral:lncRNA from 1 species